rnacentral:rRNA from 1 species
AUGGAGGUCGAGAAAGGACGCAAUAUGUCGCAGAUUGGAGGAGAUGGAUGGGCUCAUUUCGUCGCUCGCAUGCAUCUUACUGGUGGUGAGUUGAUCAGCUUCAACUUCCGAGCAGAAAGACCCAAGCUAGCUGUCAUUUAUCUCAACCUGGUGGAAGAUGAUGAAGAUGACGAAGAUGAUGAAGAUGACGAAGAUGAUGAAGAUAAUGAGGACCCACUCGAUGAAGAUGACGAGGACCCACUUCAUGAAGCCAUUGUAGCUCAAAGAACAAGGCUGAGUGAGGAGGAGGUGUCCAACCUGUGGGACAUAAUUCCGCCACGUGCUGACUUUGUCGGGGUGCCAUUCGUGACCCGCUUGACAAAUACCAUGGUUGAUCGACAUGAUAUGAAAUUGGCAAAGAGCAUAUAUGUGAGUUAUGGUAUCGAGCCUGAUGAAGAAGGCUCAGCUGGACUACGCCUUACUGCAAGGGGAUCCGUCACAACCUGUACUUACCGCGUGGACACAGACGGUCGCACACACUUAAACUCGGUUGGGUGGAAGAAAUUCCUCGGUGGCAAGAAUCUUCAUGUUGGACAGGCCAUCCUAAUUACUAUCAGGAACACCAACCGCCCAGGCUUGAGGAUGAUGAUUCUCUUUGAUACCAUCUAG